CUGGUUCUUGUGUAUAAGCUGGCCGGCCACCUCCAGGGUUGCAGAGCAGGAGAAGCUGCGCCCGUUGUCCUCUGGGGUGGCCUUCAGCAGGAGCUGGGCCCUCGGGCCCAGUGGCUGGGCUGGAACCCCAUUCAGCGUCACCUUGGCUCUAGGGUGGGCCUCACACUUCACUGUCACCUCGGUCCCUUCUGAGACCUCUGGCUUCGUCAGAAUCACGUUGGGCGCCGGAAAGCCUGGAAUAGGCACACAGUGAGCCCCGCCCCGGGUUCAGGUCACACCCCCAAGAAGCCCCACUCCGCCCCUGCCCCUUCUUACUGUAGAUGGUCACUGUCUGCAGUGUCUCCUGGCUCUGGUUCCCCAGUAUUACUGCACACGUCAGCCGCUGGGUGCCCUCGUCCUCUGCGGUCACACUGACUGAGGCCUUGGCCGAGAAGGAGUCGUUGCCAUAGGUGACUGUGGGGUUCAACCUCUGGUCCCCCAGUGCCAGGUGGACCUGGGCCUCCGAGACUGGGAACAGCCCGUCCAGGGAACAGACCACGGUCCCCUGCGUGUCCACCUCUAGGACCCGGGGGCUGACAAGUUGUGGGGGAGUCGCUGGCAGGACUAGGGAGAGAAGAAAGGUGUGAGCAGACAGGGAUGGACGUCCCGAAGCCCUUCUCUGGGGCAUUUCAUUCCCCCUCCUGCGAGAUCCUCUUCCAGGGCCACUCAGCAGCCUAGGUCACAUACGCCUAGAACACAUGCACCCCUUAGCCGGGGCCACACCCAUCUCAAAAGAUC
rnacentral:lncRNA from 1 species